rnacentral:rRNA from 1 species
GACCAGACUCCUACGGGAGGCAGCAGUGGGGGAUAUUGCACAAUGGGGGAAACCCUGAUGCAGCGACGCCGCGUGGGUGAAGAAGUAUUUCGGUAUGUAAAGCCCUAUCAGCAGGGAAGAAAGAAGACGGUACCUGACUAAGAAGCCCCGGCUAACUACGUGCCAGCAGCCGCGGUAAUACGUAGGGGGCGAGCGUUAUCCGGAUUCACUGGGUGUAAAGGGAGCGUAGACGGCCGUGCAAGCCAGGAGUGAAAGCCCGGGGCCCAACCCCGGGACUGCUCUUGGAACUGUGCGGCUAGAGUGCGGGAGGGGCAGGCGGAAUUCCUGGUGUAGCGGUGAAAUGCGUAGAUAUAUGGAGGAACACCAGUGGCGAAGGCGACGAUCUGGCCUGCAACUGACGCUCAGUCCCGAAAGCGUGGGGAGCAAAUAGGAUUAGAUACCCCGGUAC